CGAAUUCGCCCUUCCUACGGGAGGCAGCAGUAAGGAAUAUUGGACAAUGGGCGCAAGCCUGAUCCAGCCAUGCCGCGUGAAGGAUUAAGGUCCUCUGGAUUGUAAACUUCUUUUAUAAGGGACGAAAAAAGGGAAUUCUUUCUCACUUGACGGUACCUUAUGAAUAAGCACCGGCUAACUCCGUGCCAGCAGCCGCGGUAAUACGGAGGGUGCAAGCGUUAUCCGGAUUCACUGGGUUUAAAGGGUGCGUAGGCGGGUAUUUAAGUCAGUGGUGAAAUCCUAGAGCUUAACUCUAGAACUGCCAUUGAUACUAUUUAUCUUGAAUAUUGUGGAGGUAAGCGGAAUAUGUCAUGUAGCGGUGAAAUGCUUAGAUAUGACAUAGAACACCUAUUGCGAAGGCAGCUUACUACGCAUAUAUUGACGCUGAGGCACGAAAGCGUGGGGAUCAAACAGGAUUAGAUACCCUGGUAGUCCACGCCCUAAACGAUGGAUACUCGACAUACGCGAUACACUGUGUGUGUCUGAGCGAAAGCAUUAAGUAUCCCACCUGGGAAGUACGACCGCAAGGUUGAAACUCAAAGGAAUUGACGG
rnacentral:rRNA from 1 species